rnacentral:lncRNA from 1 species
UCUUUUUUUUCAUUUCCCUGUAAAUCAAUUAAUGCUUCUUUUGACUCAAUUCUAUCUCUUGUAGUGUAAUGUGAAGCCAAGACCAACAAUUGAAUAUUGUAGUGCAUCUAGAGCACUUGCAAAGAAAUCUGUGAGUAGCAGCACUGCGGAUAAGAGCGAUGAGUUCUUGAGUGGAUAUGCUGGUACAUCGAGUACUCCUUCAGCCACCAAGAAACGAGAGGCUGAUAAACCUAUGUCAUUGUUCGAACGUCUCGAACUAUCUAGUCAAAAGACAUUCCAAGCACCGGAGCGUGAAGAGUUACCAGCAAUUAGUUGUUCAUCAAGUGAGCCUGAUGUAAAGAGACCAAAACUAACUGUGAAAAAUUUAAAAUUACACGAUAUUGAGUUUGCUCGGAAAAUGAAGAAGAAAACUCAAGAAGAAAGAAAUGAUAGUAUUAAAAAUUAUUUGAUUCAAGUAAAAUCAUCAAUUCCAGCCAAUGAAUACGGUAUCUUUAGUGUGACCAUUUGCAAGUAUGCUCAUGCGCAAGCAACAUUUUCUGAGCUGAUCGAAGUACUGAAGCAAGUUUUUCCAUAUGAAAAUAAAGAAUUACGCCCAUUAUUCAAAAAAUUCAAACCUUUUUUGAAGACGGAACAUUUGAAACUUUUUGAAGAAGAGGUAUCAUCUUACCAAAAUUCAUCUCAAGUUCCUUCCAUUUCUAUCAAUGAACCAUCUUAGCAUUUGUUUAUUUUCUUUUUCUUGAUGCAUCUGUAGAUUUUAAUGUCAGCUCUAGGUUCAAAGACUUCAGAAAGAACUUGAGAAAAAAGAAUUUUAAAGAAUCAAUAUAGCAAGUAGGUUCAUUUUAAAGGUGAACGCUAUUAUCUUAUUAGACAAUUUAUCAUUUCAAAUGAAUGUGUUGGGCUCAACCCUUCGUCUUUUAAAGUUUUUAAAAAUAAAUGUUUUUUAACUGAAUGUUCAAGUGAGAAGGAAUGGAAUCCUCCUUUUCAUUUAUUUUCAAUAUUAGUGCAUUUCGACUACAUGCUUCUAGCAAAUUAUGCUUAUUUUUAAAUUAGUAGCCACAAUUAUGAGAUCACCCAUAUCUUUUGGGAAAUUAAUAGCAUAUGAAUUGCUUCUGUGAUAGACGGGAAACAUGGAAACAUUCAUUCAUAUUUUAAAAUUACCAUCCAAAUUGUGAUGAAAUAUCUCAGAAAUUCUGUUCUAUAAAUAUACUCUGGCAGUUUUUAAAAAUCAGCUGCACUCACAACUGUACUAACUUUCCUAUGAAUGAAGAGCCCCCGAGUUCAAUUUUCUAAAGGUGUGAUAUAGUAUUAGUGAACUUGUAACUAUGAGUAAAUUCUGGUCUUCCAGACUUUCACAUAUAUUUUUUUAGUUUCAAAAUGACACAGUUUUUUUCAGAUGAAAAGUUAAAAGUAGAAAUCGAGUGAAACUACCUACUUACAAAAUUGGAUUUUUUUUUUCUUUUUUUAUAUAUGAUUUUUAGGCGUUUUAUCUGAGAGAUACUGCGGCUUUGGAUGGGAGCUGAGAAUAAUUGGAGGGUGAGAAAGUUAGAUUAAAACGUAAAUUUCCCUAUACUGCAGUUUUGUUGGUUUCCAACCAAUUUUAAAUCCUCUUCGAUAAGAGGUAGCUGAAAUUCUCUCAAACAUGUUGACAUGACUGCGAUUUUCGCCAGUCCUAAAUUAGCUGAUUGGUGCAUUACAGGUGUUAAGGACAGUGACUGACUUAAAUGGAGCUUACUAUUAGCCUCGUCUCGUUUCUUACUCUUUUGAGUUUUUCAUUUGUCAAUCAUGCAUGUUCAUCCUUUUCAUCAAAAAUUUAACCCAUUUUAAGUUACGAAUGUACAGGAAGAUUUUUAUUGCUAACAAGACUGUGUAAAGUCAUCGCAUGAUCUAAUCGUCUUUGAAAAGAGUGUAAUUUCAAAAUAUAUCGCUGCUGUAAACUAAUAUAAUAUAAAAUCAUUAAGAAAAAAAAUUGAGGAAAUAGUGAGCACAACAACUUUCUUUUCACCAGAUUCAAAAUUGGUUAAAAAUCAUCAGGACUACAGCAUGGGGAAACUUACUCUUUGAUCCACAUAAAUAUCAGGUCUGAUCCAUAGAGGAAGUUAGUACCCUCUCUAAUAGAUUUUUUCAAAGACCAAAAACUAAGGCUAAAGGCUGAAAUGGCUGUCGAGAAGAUUCGGAAAAUAUCGUGACAUUCUAACUUUGUACAUUGCUUAUUGUCUUUUGUUAUUUUAAUUUAUCAUUGAUAGAGAUCACAACAAUUUUUUGUUAACUUUCUUCAACUUUUAGAUUGUAUUUUACUAUUUUCGAUACUUUUUUGACAAAAUAAAAAAGCCAUCUAGUUUUUUUGAAAAAAAAAGAAAAAUUAAGAUGUUUAAUUACCCAAAAUCCUAUAGCUGAGUGGAUAAAGGUGAAUAAUUAAAUGUGACAGUCUGCAGGGAAGGGCGCCUUUAUCCACAAAAACUCAAAUUGAAUUACUCAUGCUAGAGCACAGCAUUAUUCCACAAUUAUUUUAAGGCAAAAUAUGCAUAAAAAAGUCAAACCAAACUGGAGUUGGGGCGGUUUGAAGUUUGCAGUUCAAAAACGGAAUUUCAAGCAAGUACAAUUCACACAGGUCAGUCAUACCCAUGAAUGUGCAUUGAGACCCUACAGGGCAUUGGCAUUGGGAAGUUUAAGUACAAUUGGUUCCAGAAUUAUUAUUAA